ensembl:lncRNA
AAAAUGGCUAGUUACCUGGCUUAGAAAUGUACUUCCUCUGAUUUUUUUCCCUUACAAAGUUUCUCUAAAAUCUUGUCUUAUCUUUGCAGAGCUGCUCAUUCCAAAAGCACAAGGAGAAUAAUCAGCCGUGAUGUGGCUAGACUGUGUGAAGAAUGAGGAAAGAGAGAAUCUGGCUCACGCUGAAUGAAAUCUCCAUUCCUAACACGACUCUUCAGCUGCACUUUGUAGAAUGUUGUAUGUUUCUGAUGGAGAAAGAGGGGAGAAAUCUCAUAAAGAAAGUAUCAACAUUUUCCUGGAUUUUUUUUUUAAGUCUUUAACAAAAAGAAAAUCAAAAUUGUCUUUCUGCUUUUGCUCUUUGACUUCUUAGUCUGUCUGCUUUUCCAACUGUGUAACAAAGGCAAUAAGAGACAGGAAAAGAUGAG